rnacentral:lncRNA from 1 species
AUGUAGGGUUGCGUGAAAACAAUGUUCCGAAAUUAAAUAUAUUGAAGGAUCUUUUCUUGACUGAAUAAAGAGCUCAGAUCGAGUAAACCUUCAAGACCUAACAUCCAGCUUGGAUCAUAGCCGCCGGAGUCGUGACGUCUAACGAGAGCAAGAUACCUCCCUACUUCUUCAAGGCCAACCAUAAAGUCAACACGGACGUCUACUACAAGGUCCUCGGGUACCAUGUCUUGCCAUGUGCCCGGAACACAAUUCCAAGAAGGGUGCAGUAUUUCUGUAGGGAGAACAUGGCUACCUUCUGGCCUUCAUCCUCACUCAAUCUGAACCCCCUGGACUUUGCUGUUUGGUGCGUCUUCGAUGGUAAGGCGAACAAGACAUAUCACCCGAAUGUCGAAGCUUUGAAGGCCAUGAUUACGGAGGAGUGGAACAACUUGUCCUCGGACUUCAUCUAGGACAGCACUGCUUCUCUUCAUUACUGUAUUGAAGCCGUCAUUUAGAAUAAAAGCGUACAUAUUGAAGAAAAAGUGUACAAAAUACUUAGAUUACCUUAUUUUGCUUCAAAAGUUUACCAUAAUAAUUGUACAAAUAAAAAUAUGUAGAUGUGAAAA